GUACCUACAUUACUUAUUGGAAAAGUGAAUUAAAAUGACAGAAUAUAAAUUCUCUAUAUCCCACUGGGAUAAAAAGCAUUCUAUAUGUUAAUCAAGAUAUUAUUCUAUAUGUGUGCAAAAUUUUAUUCAAAUCCAUUCAGCUGUUUAAGCGUGAUUUGUCACAAACCUCUUCAAAAACUUUCGUAUUUAAUAUCAUAUUAAUCCAAUUUGGAUUAAUUACAUAAUCAUGCAAAUACUAAACGCUGUUAUUAUAGGUAUUGUUUCAAUUUCUUGCCAAUGGAGGGUACCAGAGGCAAAUUGGGCAAGACCACAGCAUGUGUCAGGCUCAAACUACAGUGAGCAAAUGUCUGGACCAGUUUUAAAAGUCUAUUUAUAGAAGACUCUUAGCUGAAUGGGUACAUUUUCCUGCCACAGAAUCAGCUCGAAGGCGUGUGGCUGCUGGAUUUGAGGCUAAAUUUAAUGUGCCAGAUAUAUUGGGGGUCAUUGACUGUACUCACAUAAAAAUAUUUUCCCCUCCUGGACCACAAGGCGCCCACUACAAAAAUAGGAGAAAGGAUGCACACUCCAUAAAUGUCCAAUUGGUAUGAGUGUUGUAGAUGCAAAUUGUAGAGUAAUUAAUGUUAAUGCCCGAUACCCUGGCAGGGUACAUGAUGCUUUUAUUUGGCACCACUCGAGUGUCAGAAAUGAAUUGAAAAGGCUGCAUGAAAGAAGAAUUGGAAAUUACUUCCUGUUGGGUGACUCAGGUUACCCAUUAGAGCCAUGGCUAAUGACGCCAAUCCUACAUGCAGAGCUCAACACUCCAGAAAAAAAAAUACACAGACUGGCACUGUCAAGCUCGUAAUACAGUUGAAAGAGCAAAUGGCUACCUCAAAGGUAGCCUAAGAUGUUUAAGUGCUGACCGGGUCCUCCACUAUGCACAUAUUUUCAAUUUAAUGAAACAUUUUGGGUAUUAAAAUAGUUUUCAGUAUCCAUUUUUCUUAAUAUAACUUGUGAACAAUUUUUAAUGAUGUAUUGUUUAUUAUAGUGUACCACUGGAGGAAGACACAGCAAAUGAGCAGCAGAGAGAUCAGCCUACAGGAAUGGAGGAACCUAGGCACCUCAUUAGAAUUGGUCAAAUCAGACGUGCAGAGUUAAUUAAUAUUUAUUUUAAUUAAAUGAAGAUUUUUAAAUGAUUGUACUUGUAGUUAUCAUUAAUUAGCCACCUGUCCUCAUUUUGCUCAUUUUAACCAAUUUGAUUUACAAAUAUUGUGAUUUUAUAUUUAAAACUACACUAAAACUAGCAGUGCACCGUGGUUUCACUUGCUUUAAUUUGAUAAAAAAAUAGCCUAUAGCCUUCCUCGAUAAAUGGGCUAUCAACAUUGAAGCAAGCUAGGAAUAUAGGGGCAGAUGUACAUACUAGUUUUGUUAAAAAAUAUUUAUAAUUUUAAUGAAUAAAUUUUAACUUAUCAUCA
rnacentral:misc_RNA from 1 species